rnacentral:rRNA from 1 species
AACGAACGCUGGCGGCAGGCCUAACACAUGCAAGUCGAGCGGAUGAGGGGUGCUUGCACCCCGAUUCAGCGGCGGACGGGUGAGUAAUGCCUAGGAAUCUGCCCGAUAGUGGGGGACAACGAUUCGAAAGGAACGCUAAUACCGCAUACGUCCUACGUGUGAAAGUGGGGGAUCUUCGGACCUCACGCUAUCGGCAGAGCCUAGGUCGGAUUAGCUAGUUGGUGGGGUAAAGGCUCACCAAAGCGACGAUCCGUAACUGGGCUGAGAGGAUGAUCAGUCACACUGGAACUGAGAAACGGUACAGACGCCUACGGGAGGCAGCAGUGGUGAAUAUUGGACAAUGGGCGAAAGCCUGAUCCAGCCAUGCCGCGUUUGUGAAGAAGGUCUUCGGAUUGUAAAGCACUUUAAGUCGGGAGGAAGGGCUGCAGGUUAAUACCUUGCAGCCUUGACGUUACCGACAGAAUAAGCACCGGCUAACUUCGUGCCAGCAGCCGCAGUAAGAC